rnacentral:rRNA from 1 species
CAGUCCGCGGUAAUACCGAGGGUGCGAGCGUUAAUCGGAUUUACUGGGCGUAAAGCGUGCGUAGGCGGCUUCUUAAGUCGGAUGUGAAAUCCCUGAGCUUAACUUAGGAAUUGCAUUCGAUACUGGGAAGCUAGAGUAUGGGAGAGGAUGGUAGAAUUCCAGGUGUAGCGGUGAAAUGCGUAGAGAUCUGGAGGAAUACCGAUGGCGAAGGCAGCCAUCUGGCCUAAUACUGACGCUGAGGUACGAAAGCAUGGGGAGCAAACAGGAUUAGAUACCCCCGUAGUCCCUGUCUCUUAUACAC